GAACUGCGAUAAGUAAUGUGAAUUGCAGAAUUCAGUGAAUCAUCGAGUCUUUAAACGCACAUUGCGCCCCCUGGCAUUCCGGGGGGCAUGCCUGUCCGAGCGUCAUUGCUGCCCUUCAAGCCCGGCUUGUGUGUUGGGUCGUCGUCCCCUCCGGGGGACGGGCCCGAAAGGCAGCGGCGGCACCGCGUCCGGUCCUCGAGCGUAUGGGGCUUUGUCACCCGCUCGAUAAGGACCGGCCGGGCGCCAGCCGGCGUCUCCAACCUUUUUUUCUCAGGUUGACCUCGGAUCAGGUAGGGAUACCCGCUGAACUUAAGC
rnacentral:misc_RNA from 1 species